rnacentral:rRNA from 1 species
AUUGAACGCUGGCGGCAGGCCUAACACAUGCAAGUCGAACGAGUGGCGGACGGGUGAGUAAUGUCUGGGAAACUGCCUGAUGGAGGGGGAUAACUACUGGAAACGGUAGCUAAUACCGCAUACCAUCAGAUGUGCCCAGAUGGGAUUAGCUAGUGGGUGGGGUAAUGGCUCACCUAGGCGACGAUCCCUAGCUGUUCUGAGAGGAUGACCAGCCACACUGAAAUGGACACACGAGCCAGACGCCUCCGGGAGGCAGCAGUGGGGAAUAUUGCACAAUGGGCUGAAGCCUGAUGCAGCCAUGCCGCGUGUGCGAAGAAGGCCUUCGGGUGGAAAAGCACUUUCAGCGGGGAGGCGUUACCCGCAGAAGACGCACCGGCUAACUCCGUGCCAGCAGCCGCGGUAAUAC